CACUCUUGGAGACACGAGGAUGGGAACUGGAGACAUUACCGCCUGGACUGCCCUAAUGCUAAGUGCAAGGGCUUUGGCCACUCGCCCUGGAAGGCGGAAUAUGGAGAGCGGCCGACUGACUAAGUGCAGAAAAGUAUCUGGAGCUAAAAGGGCUUGGAGCCCGGCGACAAGGGUUUGAGAGGGGCACUUAUGCUCCCAUUCAGUGAAAUCAGUGGAUCAAUAUCAGCUCCAUGUGGUCUGGAACUGCAGGAGGAAGAAAGCAACUACUGCAUAAAGAAAAACCCAGAGAAAAUGGAA
ensembl:antisense 4930524O07Rik RIKEN cDNA 4930524O07 gene